UGUUUCGGCUAGGGGGCCAUCCCGGCUUACCAACCCGAUGCAAACUGCGAAUACCGGAGAAUGUUAUCACGGGAGACACACGGCGGGUGCUAACGUCCGUCGUGAAGAGGGAAACAACCCAGACCGCCAGCUAAGGUCCCAAAGUCAUGGUUAAGUGGGAAACGAUGUGGGAAGGCCCAGACAGCCAGGAUGUUGGCUUAGAAGCAGCCAUCAUUUAAAGAAAGCGUAAUAGCUCACUGGUCGAGUCGGCCUGCGCGGAAGAUGUAACGGGGCUAAACCAUGCACCGAAGCUGCGGCAGCGACACUGUGUGUUGUUGGGUAGGGGAGCGUUCUGUAAGCCUGUGAAGGUGUGUCGUGAGGCAUGCUGGAGGUAUCAGAAGUGCGAAUGCUGACAUAAGUAACGAUAAAGCGGGUGAAAAGCCCGCUCGCCGGAAGACCAAGGGUUCCUGUCCAACGUUAAUCGGGGCAGGGUGAGUCGACCCCUAAGGCGAGGCCGAAAGGCGUAGUCGAUGGGAAACGGGUUAAUAUUCCCGUACUUGGUGUUACUGCGAAGGGGGGACGGAGAAGGCUAUGUUGGCCGGGCGACGGUUGUCCCGGUUUAAGCGUGUAGGUGUGU
rnacentral:rRNA from 1 species